rnacentral:lncRNA from 1 species
UUUUGUUUGUUUUCUUUUCUUCAAAAAGGCACGUGAGUGAGAGAAAAUAAGAGGGUGGGGAAGGAUUUUCGAAAAGCGGGAUAACGAAAGGAAAUCAUUUAGAGAAAGGACUGGGUUAGAAGAACAUUUUCCUUAACCUUCAGAAGAAAAAAAACUUCAUUUUAUUUCAACCUGCUACUCCUUUCUUCAACUCCCUUUCGUCACUCACCAAACCUAAACCAUCUGAGUUCAAACCCACCGCCCUUCUUCAACAACCUCAUCGAUGACUUGCCCUAAAAACUCCCCUCUGUCUCUCUCUCUCUCUGACAUUACUCCCUCAGAUCUCUCCUUCUCCAUAUAACUCACACCUCCAAGACAACGACCAUUUCCCUUUCUCUAACUCCUUCUACACUCAUUUUUGUUCACUUAAAACCACAAACUCAACUCUUUUCAACCUCACCUCUCUUCUUCAAAUCACACCACCUUUCAACUUUCCAUUGCGUAACCACACUCCGAUCUCACCUUCCACAACUCUAUAACCAUCGACGAAGCUAUCCUUACCAAACAACAAACCUCAAACCACCAUUGUUCCCUCUGCUACAACCACCAACACAUGCCCUCAGCUUCUCCAGUUUUUCUCAACCUUGUUUUUGCAACCACUAAAAUACUCACAACAACAUACACAACAUCCUUUUCCAUACCACUCUAGCCACUUCCCCGUCAAGACCAGGACCUCACGCCGAAAACUUCAUUGUUCGAACGAAUCCACUGCAAUAACAUCUUCAACAACAGCGGCAGGAAAUGCAAGUAGCGGUGAAAAUCAAUUCGAUGAGCAUUUAAGAUCAAUUUGCUUUGCGAUUCAUUCUUAUUUUUAAUCGAUUGCGUAAAUUUGAAUAUUUUCGUCGCAUUUCUAUUGAAAUGUUUCUUACUAUGUGUGGGUUAUUAUUUGCCAUCUUUGUUUGUGUGCUUCUUUGUGGGUUACUCUGUAAUUUUAUUUGUUUCAUUUUUGAGGUUUAUAGUGGAUUUAAUUGUUUUUCUCUGAGGCGUGAUGAUGUUUGAAUGUGUAUGAGCAGUGGAUGCGAUUUCAGUUGUUGUUUAUUCAUGAUGUGCAUGGUCCAAAAAUUACUUGCUGAUUUUUUCUGACUUGAG